rnacentral:rRNA from 1 species
AGUGAACGCUGGCGGUAGGCCUAACACAUGCCAGUCGAACGGCAGCACAGUAAGAGCUUGCUCUUACGGGUGGCGAGUGGCGGACGGGUGAGGAAUACAUCGGAAUCUACUUUUUCGUGGGGGAUAACGUAGGGAAACUUACGCUAAUACCGCAUACGACCUACGGGUGAAAGCAGGGGAUCUUCGGACCUUGCGCGAUUGAAUGAGCCGAUGUCGGAUUAGCUAGUUGGCGGGGUAAAGGCCCACCAAGGCGACGAUCCGUAGCUGGUCUGAGAGGAUGAUCAGCCACAAUGGAAGUGAGACACGGUACAGACUCCUACGGGAGGCAGCAGUGGGGAAUAUUGGACAAUGGGCGCAAGCCUGAUCCAGCCAUACCGCGUGGGUGAAGAAGGCCUUCGGGUUGUAAAGCCCUUUUGCUGGGAAAGAAAAGCAGCAGGUUAAUACCCCGCUGUUCUGACGGUACCCAAAGAAUAAGCACCGGCUAACUUCGUG